GAAUCUUAGACAAUGGGGGCAACCCUGAUCUAACCAUGCCGCGUGAGUGAUGAAGGCCUUAGGGUUGUAAAGCUCUUUCAGCUGGGAAGAUAAUGACGGUACCAGCAGAAGAAGCCCCGGCUAACUCCGUGCCAGCCGCCGCGGUAAUACGGAGGGGGCUAGCGUUGUUCGGAAUUACUGGGCGUAAAGCGCACGUAGGCGGACUGGAAAGUCAGAGGUGAAAUCCCAGGGCUCAACCUUGGAACUGCCUUUGAAACUAUCAGUCUGGAGUUCGAGAGAGGUGAGUGGAAUUCCGAGUGUAGAGGUGAAAUUCGUAGAUAUUCGGAGGAACACCAGUGGCGAAGGCGGCUCACUGGCUCGAUACUGACGCUGAGGUGCGAAAGCGUGGGGAGCAAACAGG
rnacentral:rRNA from 1 species